CCUACGGGUGGCAGCAGUGAGGAAUAUUGGUCAAUGGGCGCUAGUCUGAACCAGCCAAGUAGCGUGAAGGAUGACGGCCCUAUGGGUUGUAAACUUCUUUUAUAUGGGAGUAAAGCGCAGUACGUAUACUGCUUUGCAUGUACCUUAUGAAUAAGGAUCGGCUAACUCCGUGCCAGCAGCCGCGGUAAUACGGAGGAUCCGAGCGUUAUCCGGAUUUAUUGGGUUUAAAGGGAGCGUAGGCGGUUUGUUAAGUCAGUUGUGAAAGUUUGCGGCUCAACCGUGAAAUUGCAUUUGAUACUGGCAUCCUUGAGUACAGUAGAGGUAGGCGGAAUGCGUGGUGUAGCGGUGAAAUGCUUAGAUAUCACGAAGAACUCCGAUUGCGAAGGCAGCCUACUAAACUGUAACUGACGCUGAUGCUCGAAAGUGUGGGUAUCAAACAGGAUUAGAUACCCGGGUAGUC
rnacentral:rRNA from 1 species